AACGCACCUUGCGCCCCUUGGUUAUUCCGAAGGGCAUGCCUGUUUGAGUAUCAUGAACACCUCAACUCUUGUGGUUUCCCCCACAACGAGCUUGGACUGUGGAGGUUUUGUUGGCCCUGUGGUCAGCUCCUCUCAAAUGGAUCAGCUUACCGGUGUUUGGUGGCAUCAUGGGUGUGAUAACUAUCUGCGCUCGUGGUUGUCUCCAAGUAACCUCCAGUGAUGGGGGUUCGCUGGAGCUUAUAAACGUCUCUCCCCAGUGAAGACAGCAUUUGAACGUUCGAUCUCAAAUCAGGUAGGACUACCCGCUGAACUUAA
rnacentral:misc_RNA from 1 species